UUUUACAUCCCCCCCACCGCCGGCCCUGGUGCCCGGCGCGGAGCGAUGCAGCGUCCCUGGGUCUCGUUCCGGGGCGAAAACCCCUGUUCCGCAGGUUUUUGGUGCAGAGGCGCUGGCUCUCGCUGCCUGGGCUGCGAAUGCAGAGAGGGCAGAGCCGGUCCCUGCCUGGGCUAAAGCGGGCUGAGAGCGGUCACCACUCAUCACCCUAAUGAGGGCCGCGAGCGGGACAGUUAAGGGGGUGCUGCCGCCGGGCGGCUGAAGGCUGGUCCUGCAGGGGGGGAGCCGCGCGUGCGCCGUGGCCACGCGCCCGGCGGCGGUGUGCGUUGGUGCCGCAGCUCGUGCUCAUGCGCGACCUCGCGGAGACCGGUCCGGCGCCGGCCUCGGGAGAGCGGCAGCCGGAGCGUGAACCAGGACCGCCGGGACUCCGGCGAGCUCCCCGCCACCUCGAGCGGGAUUGGUGCCGCCCGCCCGGCCUCGAGAGCGGCCAUCGGCGCUCCCAUACCGGCCCUUACGCGUUACCGCGCCCCCGUCAGUGCCCGCCAGUUUCCGGGUGUCCAUGUCCGUGGUCCUCCAGGACCCCGGAAGUGCCCCCUCAGUCCGGCGACGCGCGUCUGUACGACACUUUAGUCCUCCAUUAGCCCCCUCAGUCCGCCGACGCGCGUCUCUGUGGCACUUUAGUCCCCCAGGACCCCGUAAAUGCUCAUCAGUCUUCUGGAAAUCAUAUGCUUCCAGCACUCUUCCAAAACACGACUAACAGUUAACCACAAAAAUAUCUGAAGACCGCAAAAAUAAAGCGACCCCUGCGGGGAACUCUCUUCUCUACAGCAACAACUGGACAGGCCUCAAACAAAAGCGGUCAGUAACUUUGUAAUGAGUGUUUAUGGCGUGCCCGGAUGGUUUAAUAGGAUGCUUUUCUUUAUUCAAGGAGUGCUGCGUUUUCUAGAAUUCCUGACUUUAUUGAUGAUAGAACUGUGGGGUUUUUUCACCAGUUUUGCAGUAUGUGGUGUAAGUUGCUGACAUUGUUUCUCAUUGUUUCAGGGAGGAGUUUUAAGGUCAGGGUAGAGCCGAGGGCGAUCCAGGAGCUGUCUCCUCUGAGUAGGUAGAGGGAGCGGGUUACUCUUCAGUACAAAGCACGGUCACUGCCCCAGUCCUGGCCAUACCAUUCCUGACACACUCCACAAACACUUCUCCCAUGUCCCUCUCACAUCAGGCAGGCUGGGAGGGCUGCCCAGCUCCCCUCGGACCCGCGGCAGAGCCCUCCGCUCACCCCUGCCUCCUCACCAUGACCAAACCCCCCUUUUUGGGGCAAAACGAGGUACCAUGUGAAGAGCCACACGCAGCUGAGCCUUCGAGCCAGCAUCGCAGAGGCAAAGGGAUGUUUAUUGUUACUGCUGGAGCUGAGCGGUGGGUGCGUGGAGAGGCCGGGGAUGCUGAAAAGCAGCUCCUGGUGCCCCUGUGGUGACUGAAGCCAGUCCCAGACCUCAGGUCUCCUCCAAAUCGCAAACGUCCGCUCAAUGAAAAAGCAACAGAUGAUUAUCACUAUGAGAAAUUCAGGAAGAUCAAAGGACAGAUUUAUAUUAAAGAGAAGUCCUACCAUGGCACGCGCACACAUAGCAAGCUAUUGUUUCCUGAAGACAAGUCCGGAGACUUGGUCCCACAGCUCCACAAGACUGGCAAGUUCCCUGUAUAUUCAUGAAAAAAGAAGGUUUGUUUGCAUGUUUGUUUUUUAAGUUACCUAAUUCUUCAAGAGUGGGAAACUUCUCUGUAACACAGGCCUCGCCAACCUGCAGCUCACAGUGUUUAGUUUUUUAAUAUCACACUUCCAAUUAAAGUGACACAUUUGAGCAGGAUAAAAUGACAGCAAGAAAUAGAUCAGAUGGGGUGGGCAAAGGCUUACUUUAUGGACCUGUGCAGGGUACAUCAGCAUGGAAGAAGAGUUUCUGCCCCUCCUCUAUGGAGACAGGCAGUAUUUUCUUCAAAAAACAAACAUGCAAACCCAUGCACAAUAGCUAAAGGGGAAAGGACUGACAACCAGAACACCCUGUACCUUGGCACCUCUCCUAUGGAAUCCAGGUGAGGACAGAUGUCUCUUGUAACCCCCAUUUUCACCAGCGCUCACCUGCGGGGGUGUGUUUUCCUAGGACAAGAACGGAGAGUUCCUUUCAGUUACACGCCAGAUUUGCUCUCACAGGUUGUAAGAAGAUAAAUUAGUAUGUUUUGUGUAUUAGAGAUUAAGAUAUCCAUCUUCAAGGUUCAAAGAGAUCAACACAAGUCUAAAUCAGGAGCCAGUCAUGUUAGCCAGCGCAGCUCUGACCCGUUGCUAACCCAUAGGGAAGCGAGCCAGGCAAUGGGGAGGAGAAGGAAACGCACGAAUAAAGGUAAUGAUCAGAACAAUGAGGGAUGUGUCUGGAUCAUGUAGCGUCUCUGAAUGAUGCAGAGUCUAAUAGCAAUGGAUAAAAACUCGCAUUAACUCCUACAUGCCUUACAUCAUACAUAACUUAACUGCUUUUGUUUACCACAAAUACUCUGUUCUCCCUGAACCUGAGCAGACUGGUAAACCACACGUUCCCCCCUAGAAACUGGGGGUUCUGCGCUAGCUCAGCAGGCAGGGCGGGAAAACAAACAUUUCUCUACACUCUGUUGUUUUCACAUUUUGAGGACAUUUGAAAGAAUUCCCAGCGUUAUCUGGUCUGAAUCACUGACAGUGGGGAGAAAAGAAGAAAAAAAAAAAAAAGGAUAAAUGAAUAAGCCAUAUCAGCAACACUUAUCUUGUGAGCUGCAGAGCUUGCCUAGCACCUUGCCUUGGCAGAAAACAAACCUCAAGGAUAAUUUUAUAACAAUGUUUUUCCAACGCUCUUUGGAACUCAAUGAACUGAACUGGAGGAGCAAAGCAAAAUUGAAGGGGGAAGGAAUCAUAUUUACAUGCCAGAAAACACAACAGGGGUUGUAACCAGGAUCCCUAUAACCUGCGGAGAGAUGCUGAACAAACAACCGACCAAUCUCAGGCACCUUCACCGAGAAGCAAAAUAGUGUCACGUAACAGCUGUCGGUUUAAAAGACGAGUGACAAGAGCACAGUAUCUUUGACUAACACAUAAAAACUGGGACGCUUUCAGGCUCUGAGUUCCUUCCUCAAAACUGACCCCUCUUCCCAAGUGCA